rnacentral:tRNA from 1 species
GGCGCCGUAGCCAAGUGGUAAGGCAGAGGUCUGCAAAACCUCUAUUCGGCGGUUCGAGUCCGCCCGGCGCCU